UAAUUCAGUUUGCCUUUUUUACUUGUCUGUUGCGUUGAGCGUUGACAGUUGACAGUUAACACCGCAGCAGCAACUAACAAUUUUCAGUGCCAGUGCAUUACAAGUUAUUCUACGGUGCAUCAUAGGUGUUUAAUCGUUGUUAAUAGGUUUUGGUUUGGUGUUGUGGGACAUAGAAUAUGGAAGGAGAGGACUCACUAAGUACAGAGACUCAUGGGUUUGACUUUCGAGCCAUUUUCCUUGAAGAAUGUACAAAUAAUGAAGGAUAUUUCGAUAAAGAAGAUGAUAUACGCCAAAGCAUUUACAUUCUACUUUCCAAUAGUACAAAUUUAUCACUAAAGUGUGUUACAUUAAUAAAAAAAUUUAUUUCAUAUGUCGAUAAAAUAAUAAUAACAAUGGAAAGAGAUCCUCUUGAUCUGAUAAGCAUACUGAUAAGUAAACCUGAAAUAAUCACAGCGGAAUACAAGUGUACGAAUCUAACACCAGUUUUAUUCACAAAGCAGCGUCCCACAUUAUUCACAGAACUUGUACUUGAGGCUAAUUGUAACAAGAAAACAAACAUUAAAUCAAAAGUUACUGUAAUUGCUUAUGAAGAAAUAGAAAAUAAGAAAAUUGGAUCACAACACAUUAUGUAUACAACACAGCCAGGUUCAAUAAGCGAUUCAUCAAGCUCAGCUGAUUUACUAGAAGAUGAUGAUUCUAAUUCCAAUCAAUCUCUUACUCGUAAGAGAAAGAGAAGAACAUGUCAAAAAGCAGGGGACUUCGAGCUUUUAGGACAUGAAGACAACUGUCAAUUUAACAAUACUGUGAAAUGUCAAGUAGAAAUAUUGAUAUUAGUAGGGGAUAGAUCUUACUGUGAAACACUGGCCAAGCACCUUGGACUGAUUUGGCUUGAAGGUCUGCUGAAAGGAGAGGAAGCCAUUGAACGUCGUUUGCAAAAUUAUGAUAAUAAAAUUUAUCGAUUAGCUCACACAGAAAUUAUUAAGAAAAUGAUGAAUGGCUACAGCAGCAUCUGCAUCACCACAUCGACAUCAGCUUGGAAGUACAUAUCAGCAUGUACGAAAGGAAUUAUUUACACAAAAAAUAAAUCUAAUUUGUAUAAACAACUCCAAACGAGCGCAAAUUACUGUGUUUUUGUCGAAGAUAAUAUUGUAGCUUAUGUAGAUGCUAUUAGUAAAAUUGUUCAAAAAUCAUUGUUAUGCAAUAUUUUAGUGGAAGCAAAUUAUCAAGUAGAUGAAAAAGCUUAUACUAAAAUCAAAUUACCUAUAACGGUUUUAAUACCUCUUUACAUUGUUAAAUAUUUCUCACAGAGCUUUAUGGUGACACAUGGAACUUGGGCAAAUUCUAAAAUUUUAGAUAUAUUUGAGCGUAGAGAUAUUGUCUAAGGCUCCAUGUAUUGAUUCUCUGUAAAUACAUACUAAUUUGAUACUAAUAGUUUGCAAAAUUACUGUGCUUUUAUGUUUAGUUUGUAACCUAAAUUACUGAUGAUAUCAAAAUUAAAAGUAAAUUGUACAAUACCUUUGUCUAAUAAACAAACUGAAGAAAGUUAGAACAUAAAGUUUAA